rnacentral:rRNA from 1 species
CCUACGGGAGGCAGCAGUGAGGAAUAUUGGACAAUGGGUGAAAGCCUGAUCCAGCCAUCCCGCGUGCAGGAAGACGGCCCUAUGGGUUGUAAACUGCUUUUAUCUGGGGAUAAACCUACUUACGUGUAAGUAGCUGAAGGUACCAGAAGAAUAAGCACCGGCUAACUCUGUGCCAGCAGCCGCGGUAAUA